AUGCUCUCGUGCUCACGUCUCUCCGAGCUCGCGACGGCAACUCUGACCACGCCGCCCGCGGCCACCGCUCCUGCCGCCGCGCUGGCCGCGGUCGCCCUCGCCGUCCGUGGGUCUGAUCCGGCCAUUGGGGGUCGGAUGGCUCAAGCUCGCCCCAUCCCCAAGUCCGCGACGGCCCGUCCCCUGCCAGAUCCGGUUCGGGAGGGACUGGUUCUGGUCGUUCCGCUGACCGAGCCGCCUUUGGCAGGCCGCAGCCCCAUGGAUGGGGUCGGGGUGGUGAUGGAGCUCGGGUCUGCGUCGUCGUCUUUGCCUCCGACACCCCUGCCUGCCAUCCCUGUUGCUGCCACCGGGGGUGCCAUCGACCAGCUGCAACCCCCACCGCUGGUGUCUCUGGUAGCUGUGACCAUGCUGUCCUCCCGUGCAGCAGCACCGACCGCCUCCGGAGGUGUGGAUUCUGGCGAAGCUCGUGGAACCGACGAUGGGUGCGAUGACGCGACGAUGCCAGAGAAGUUGGAGUCUCCUCUGCUUGGUCCAUCUUCGGCGUCGGCAUGCAAGGGCCUCUCUGCUGCUGCUGCCGCUCUUGAAGCCGAGGCGGGCUGGGAGCAUGUGGGUCGGGGGCGUCGUUCCGGCCAGGGCACUCCUCUCGAGCCAUCGAGGAAAGGUCUCGAGCGUAGCCUCGCCUUCAAGCGUUGGGCUCGAGGGAGGUGCUUUCGUUGCCUCGCGCGUGGCCAUCAAGUCAAUGCAUGUCGUGAGCCUUUCAGAUGCAUUCGCUGUCGUCGCUCUGGACAUCGGGAGAGGUUCUGUCGUGCUUCCUCUCCGGUCGCUUGCAAUCGCUCUUCGGUCACUCGUGCUCCUCUCCAGCGGAGCCGCUCCUCGUCCGUCCAGCCUUGUCCUUCGCUGACCAGGAGUUGGGCUGAGGUUGUGGGCCACACGUCGUCGUGUGUGUCGGUGCCGCCAAGGUCCCAAUAUGGGUGUUGCAAGGAUUCCAAUGUCAACGCCUCUUUGGUCUCUGCUUUGGAGUCGCAGCUUGCCCUGCUGCGCACGGAGCUCCUUCAGGAGGUUGAGCUGCUCCGUGCUGAGCUUCGCGACGCUCUAGCCAAGCUUGAGGUUGCGUCAGUUGUGCCUUUGCUACCUGAGCUCCAGGUUGGUUCCAUUGUUGAGGAUGCAGAAGGUUUCUUUGGAGAUUUUUCUCCUUGUGCUUUGCAUGUGACGCCGCUUGUUCGUGGGAGCGCGGUUAUCACUGAGGUCGUAGCUCCGGUUCUGCAGAUUAUGCCAGAGUUGCACGAGCUUUGUGGGGAAUCAUCUAUAGUGUUACCAUUGGAGCUGAGCGCAUUGGAGUCAUUGGCGGUGGCCAUGACACCCUCACUUCCACCGUCAGAGUCCUGUCAGCCGCCCGCCUUUGCGGACUGUGGAGACUUGGUUGGUUCUGUCACUGCUUCAUCUAUGGCCAUUGGGCAUGUGGCGUCUUUGAGUGGCGAGGUUGAUGAGUUAGGUGUGUUGGCGCCUAACUCCGAGGCUCUAUCAUGUGAGCAACUGGAGACGCUCGAGUCCAUCGUGUCAGUGGUACCUGUGACUGAUGAUGUUGAGGUGGUUGGUAUGUUGGCGCCUGAUCCUUCGGUGCGCAACCAGCCGCUCAUCUUUGUGGAGCAUGGAGGUUCCGAUGUUGUAGUCACCCACUCGCACGUGACCGUUGGGCAGGUUUCUGUGCGUGACAAAGUCAAUGACAUUCUCUUCGAUUUAGAGCUUCACAGCUUGCUCAAACGUUUGGAGAGGGUGAGCCCUGGAUCUGGCAAGGCGAUUGUGGAGGAGGCUCUCAGGAGCAAAGGAAAGAAGAGUGAGGCCACAGGAAAGGCGUCCGCAGCAGCUUGA
rnacentral:rRNA from 1 species